rnacentral:rRNA from 1 species
UACGAAGGGGGCUAGCGUUGCUCGGAAUCACUGGGCGUAAAGCGCACGUAGGCGGCUUUUUAAGUCAGGGGUGAAAUCCUGGAGCUCAACUCCAGAACUGCCUUUGAUACUGGGAAGCUCGAGUCCGGGAGAGGUGAGUGGAACUCCGAGUGUAGAGGUGAAAUUCGUAGAUAUUCGAAAGAACACCAGUGGCGAAGGCGGCUCACUGGCCCGGUACUGACGCUGAGGUGCGAAAGCGUGGGGAGCAAACAGG